AGCCUAUCCCGGAACGCUAUCGG
rnacentral:miRNA from 14 species